rnacentral:sRNA from 1 species
CGUGGCCUAGCUCGUCAAGUUGCCGUGGCGCGGAGAACUGUGCAAAACAAGAGGCUGAGGAUUGCGUUAGAGAUAAACCAGUUCACGCCGGAGCCCCGUGAGGGAAGCGUCUCCGUUGGGUCCGGCCGCUCUGCGGGACUCUGAGGAAAAGCUCGCACCAGGUGGACGCGGAUCUGUCACCAUGGGUAAAGGAGACCCCAACAAGCCGCGGGGCAAAAUGUCCUCGUACGCCUUCUUCGUGCAGACCUGCCGGGAAGAGCACAAGAAGAAACACCCGGACUCUUCCGUCAAUUUCGCGGAAUUCUCCAAGAAGUGUUCGGAGAGAUGGAAGACCAUGUCUGCAAAGGAGAAGUCGAAGUUUGAAGAUAUGGCAAAAAGUGACAAAGCUCGCUAUGACAGGGAGAUGAAAAAUUACGUUCCUCCCAAAGGUGAUAAGAAAGGGAAGAAAAAGGACCCCAAUGCUCCUAAAAGGCCACCGUAAGUUUAAAAUAACCCAAAUUGCUCCUUGGAUUUUUCCUUCAGUUUAUUAAGCUCUGUUGCUUCCUUUCAGAUCUGCCUUCUUCCUGUUUUGCUCUGAACAUCGCCCAAAGAUCAAAAGUGAACACCCUGGCCUAUCCAUUGGGGAUACUGCAAAGAAAUUGGGUGAAAUGUGGUCUGAGCAGUCAGCCAAAGAUAAACAACCAUAUGAACAGAAAGCAGCUAAGCUAAAGGAGAAAUAUGAAAAGGUACAGUGUCAUCUUUUUUAAAGCCGUGGAUAAGACUAGGUAUAGGUAAUAACUGUAGAAAACUUGGGAAAUUUAGUUAAUCUUGUAUUAAUGGUUGUCAGCUAUGUUUUGAAAAGGCCUAAUGAAAAUUGUACACUUCAACACAAGGUAAUUGAAACCUUCCUUUUGACUGAAACCAGUGUUUGUAGCACUAGUAUAUUCCUGCAGACAGACUUGUAGUUACUUGUAGUUACUGUAUAGUCUGUUAUUUUUUUUUUUUAAAGCAGAGAGUCAAAGAAAUUGUUUUAUGUAGAUAUAUAUAAAAUGUGAAGGUAUAGCAGGGACUAUGGCACUGUGUGAUGUAAAAGGGUAUUGGUAGUGAAAGUACUGAUACUGCUGUAUCGCAACCCUUGUCAUUUUACGUCAUUAACUUGUUAAAGCCUAGUGGGAUAAGUGCUCUAAAAACUUAGACUGGUUACCUUUUUAGACAGUUAUUAGGGUUAUUGGUCAAUCAUCUUAGAUUGUUUACAACUAAGUGGUUUUUCACAGUUGAGUAAUGACACCGGAUGCUUUAUUUUUUUGACAAUAUUUCAGGAUAUUGCUGCAUAUCGUGCCAAGGGCAAAAGUGAAGCAGGAAAGAAGGGCCCUGGCAGGCCAACAGGCUCAAAGAAGAAGAACGAACCAGAAGAUGAGGAGGAGGAGGAGGAAGAAGAAGAUGAAGAUGAGGAGGAAGAGGAUGAAGAUGAAGAAUAAAUGGCUAUCCUUUAAUGAUGCGUGUGGAAUGUGUGUGUGUGCUCAGGCAAUUGUUUUGCUAAGAAUGUGAAUUCAAGUGCAGCUCAAUACUAGCUUCAGUAUAAAAACUGUACAGAUUUUUGUAUAGCUGAUAAGAUUCUCUGUAGAGAAAAUACUUUUAAAAAAUGCAGGUUGUAGCUUUUUGACGGGCUACUCAUACAGUUAGAUUUUACAGCUUCUGAUGUUGAAUGUUCCUAAAUAUUUAAUGGUUUUUUUAAUUUCUUGUGUAUGGUAGCACAGCAAACUUGUAGGAAUUAGUAUCAAUAGUAAAUUUUGGGUUUUUUAGGAUGUUGCAUUUUGUUUUUUUAAAAAAAAUUUUGUAAUAAAAUUAUGUAU